rnacentral:rRNA from 1 species
UACGGAGGGAGCUAGCGUUGUUCGGAAUUACUGGGCGUAAAGCGCACGUAGGCGGUUUUUUAAGUCAGAGGUGAAAGCCCGGGGCUCAACCCCGGAAUAGCCUUUGAAACUGGAAAACUUGAAUCUUGGAGAGGUCAGUGGAAUUCCGAGUGUAGAGGUGAAAUUCGUAGAUAUUCGGAAGAACACCAGUGGCGAAGGCGACUGACUGGACAGGUAUUGACGCUGAGGCGCGAAAGCGUGGGGAGCAAACAGG